rnacentral:rRNA from 1 species
GUGCCAGCAGCCGCGGUAAUACAGAGGUCCCAAGCGUUGUUCGGAUUCACUGGGCGUAAAGGGUGCGUAGGCGGUUGGAUAAGUCUGACGUGAAAUCUUCGAGCUCAACUCGGAAACUGCAUCGGAAACUAUCCAGCUAGAGGAUUGGAGGGGAGACUGGAAUUCUCGGUGUAGCAGUGAAAUGCGUAGAUAUCGAGAGGAACACCAGUGGCGAAGGCGAGUCUCUGGACAAUUCCUGACGCUGAGGCACGAAAGCUAGGGGAGCAAACAGGAUUAGAAACCCGUGUAGUCC